GGGUGCCAUCAUACAAGCACUAAUUCACCAGAUCCUAUCAGAACUCCGCAGUUAAGCGUGCUUGGGCGAGAGUAGUACUAGAUUGGGUGACCUCCUUGGAAUUCCUCGUAUUGCAACAC
rfam:Beta vulgaris subsp. vulgaris 0533.scaffold01098.con0001.1, whole genome shotgun sequence.